CACAACGAACGCUUGCGGCGUGGAUAAGACAUGCAAGUCGAACGGGAUCAAUCGGAUUGGGUAACCAAUUUGAUUGUCUAGUGGCGGACGGGUGCGUAACACGUGGGAAUCUACCCUGAAGUGGGGGAUAGCUCGCCGAAAGGCGAAUUAAUACCGCAUGAUAAGGAAACUUCAAAGCUGGGGAUCUUCGGACCUGGCGCUUUAGGAUGAGCCCGCGGCCUAUCAGCUUGUUGGUGAGGUAAUGGCUCACCAAGGCUCUGACGGGUAGCUGGUCUGAGAGGACGAUCAGCCACACUGGAACUGAGACACGGUCCAGACACCUACGGGUGGCAGCAGUCGAGAAUCAUUCGCAAUGGGGGAAACCCUGACGGUGCGACGCCGCGUGGAGGACGAAGGCCCUAGGGUCGUAAACUCCUGUCACCAUAGAACAAGGUUCACGGAUUAAUACCCCUGUGGAUUUGAUGGUAUAUGGAGAGGAAGGUCCGGCUAACUCUGUGCCAGCAGCCGCGGUAAUACAGAGGGACCAAGCGUUGUUCGGAUUUACUGGGCGUAAAGCGUGCGUAGGAGGCUGGGAAAGUCUGAUGUGAAACGUCACCGCUCAACGGUGAAAGUGCAUUGGAAACUAUUCAGCUCGAGGAUUGGAGAGGAAAGCGGAAUUCCAGGUGUAGCGGUGAAAUGCGUAGAUAUCUGGAGGAACACCAACGGCGAAGGCAGCUUUCUGGACAAUUCCUGACUCUGAGGCACGAAGGCCAAGGGAGCGAACGGGAUUAGAUACCCCGGUAGUCCUGGCAGUAAACGAUGCUCACUAGGUGUCGGUGGAUUCGACCCCAUCGGUUGCCGUAGCUAACGCGUUAAGUGAGCCGGCAUGGGGAGUACGAUCGCAAGAAUAAAACUCAAAGAAAGUUGACGGGGACCACGUACAAGAGGGGGGAGUAUGUGGCUUAGUUCGAUGCAACGCGAAGAACCUU
rnacentral:rRNA from 1 species